rnacentral:rRNA from 1 species
CAAUAGCGUAUAUUUAAGUUGUUGCAGUUAAAAGGCUCGUAGUUGGAUUUCGGGUGGGACGCAGCGGUCUCGCAUUGCGUUUGUACUGCUGCAGCCCUCCUUCUUGCCGGGGGCGGCCUCUCGGACUUCACUGUCUGGGGGUCAGAAUCGGCGAUGUUACUUUGAGUAAAUUAGAGUGUUCAAAGCAAGCUUACGCUCUGAAUAUAAUAGCAUGGGAUAACACGACAGGACUCUGGCCUAUCGUGUUGGUCUAUAGGACCAGAGUAAUGAUUAAGAGGGACAGUCGGGGGCAUUCGUAUUCCGUUGUCAGAGGUGAAAUUCUUGGAUUUACGGAAGACGAACAUCUGCGAAAGCAUUUGCCAAGGAUGUUUUCAUUG